UACGGAGAGGGCUAGCGUUAUUCGGAAUCAUUGGGCGUAAAGGGCGCGUAGGCGGGUUAGUAAGUUAAAAGUGAAAUCCCAAGGCUCAACCUUGGAACUGCUUUUAAAACUGCUGACCUAGAGAUUGAAAGAGGAUAGAGGAAUUCCUAGUGUAGAGGUGAAAUUCGUAAAUAUUAGGAGGAACACCAGUGGCGAAGGCGUCUAUCUGGUUCAAAUCUGACGCUGAGGCGCGAAGGCGUGGGGAGCAAACA
rnacentral:rRNA from 1 species